AAUCAACGCUGGCGGCGCGCUUAACACAUGCAAGUCGAACGAGAAAGGGGAGCAAUCCCUGAGUACAGUGGCGUACGGGUGAGUAACACGUGGAUGAUCUAUCUCUUAGUGGGGAAUAACUCUGGGAAACCGGAGAUAAUACCGCAUAAGCUCGAGAGAGGAAAGCAGCAAUGCGCUGAGAGAGGAGUCCGCGGCCGAUUAGCUAGUUGGCAGGGUAAAAGCCACCAAGGCAGAGAUCGGUAGCCGGCCUGAGAGGGCACACGGCCACACUGGCACUGAAACACGGGCCAGACUCCUACGGGAGGCAGCAGUGGGGAAUCUUGCACAAUGGGGGAAACCCUGAUGCAGCGACGCCGCGUGAGCGAUGAAGCCCUUCGGGGUGUAAAGCUCUUUCGGCAGGGAAGAUAAUGACGGUACCUGCAGAAGCAGCUGCGGCUAACUACGUGCCAGCCGCCG
rnacentral:rRNA from 1 species